rnacentral:lncRNA from 1 species
GGUUGAGUGAGCUCCACCUGUGAAAUGCAGCCCUUGUUCUCUCAGCAGAGGGUGGGAGCUUGGGAAAAGGUUGUGAGGACAUAGGAAAAAAGAAUGUUGGAUUAGUGCUUUGGCUGUAAAGGAAUAACCUGGAUGUUCCACUUUGAAGUGAAACAGCCAAGUCCUCAUACCUGACCUCUUGGGAAGAAUGUGUGUGGCAAAAAAAAAAGUUCAGAGUGCCUUUGAACAAGCUAUUUUCUGUGUGGAAGGAGGGAAUUGCAACACAAGCCUGAUGGGAAACUCGCAUGGGACAGGCCAGAAGGAGGUAGGAAACCAAGCAUAACAAG